CAGCCCUUGACAUCCCGGUCGCGGUUACCAGAAAUGGUUUCCUUCAGUUCGGCUGGACCGGUGACAGGUGCUGCAUGGCUGUCGUCAGCUCGUGUCGUGAGAUGUUGGGUUAAGUCCCGCAACGAGCGCAACCCUCGCCCUUAGUUGCCAUCAUUCAGUUGGGCACUCUAAGGGGACUGCCGGUGAUAAGCCGAGAGGAAGGUGGGGAUGACGUCAAGUCCUCAUGGCCCUUACGGGCUGGGCUACACACGUGCUACAGUGGUGGUGACAGUGGGCAGCGAGACCGCGAGGUCGAGCUAAUCUCCAAAAGCCAUCUCAGUUCGGAUUGCACUCUGCAACUCGAGUGCAUGAAGUUGGAAUCGCUAGUAAUCGCGGAUCAGCAUGCCGCGGUGAAUA
rnacentral:rRNA from 1 species